rnacentral:rRNA from 1 species
UAGUCCACGCCGUAAACGAUGAGUACUAGCUAUUAGAGGUUUAACCCCUUUAGUGGCGCAGCUAACGCAUUAAGUACUCCGCCUGGGAAGUACGGUCGCAAGACUAAAACUCAAAGGAAUUGACGGGGGCCCGCACAAGCGGUGGAUUAUGUGGUUUAAUUCGAAGCAACGCGCAGAACCUUACCAAGGCUUGAAAUCCUAGGAAUCCCGAGUAAUGUUGGGAGUGCCCGCAAGGGAAUCUAGUGACAGGUGCUGCAUGGCUGUCGUCAGCUCGUGUUGUGAGAUGUUGGGUUAAGUCCCGCAACGAGCGCAACCCUUGUCUUUAGUUGCCAUCAUUUAGUUGGGCACUCUAGAGAAACUGCCGGUGACAAACCGGAGGAAGGUAAGGAUGACGUCAAGUCAGCAUGCCCCUUACGCUCUGGGCUACACACGUGCUACAAUGGUCGUGACAAAGAGUUGCUAGUCUGCGAAGGCAAGCCAAUCUCAUAAACGCGGCCUUAGUUCGGAUUGC